GAUCCUGGCUCAGGAUGAACGCUAGCUACAGGCUUAACACAUGCAAGUCGAGGGGCAGCAUGGACCCAGCUUUGCUGGGUUUGAUGGCGACCGGCGCACGGGUGAGUAACGCGUAUCCAACCUGCCCUUUACUCCGGGAUAGUCUCCUGAAAGGGAGUUUAAUACCGGAUGUGUUUGUCUUUCCGCAUGGGAGCGAACAAAUAAAGAUUAAUUAGGUAAAGGAGUGGGGAUGCGUCCCAUUAGCUUGUUGGGACGGGG
rnacentral:rRNA from 1 species